rnacentral:rRNA from 1 species
UACAGAGGCCUCGAGCGUUAGGCGGAAUCACUGGGCUUAAAGCGCGUGUAGGCGGAUCGUUAAGUACCUUGUGAAAUCCCACGGCUCAACCGUGGAACUGCUGGGUAUACUGGCGGUCUUGGGCCAUCCAGGGGUCGCCGGAACAAGCGGUGGAGCGGUGAAAUGCGUAGAUAUCAGGAGGAACACCGGUGGCGAAGGCGGGUCUCUGGGCCGAUACUGACGCUGAGGAGCGAAAGCGUGGGGAGCGAACAGG